AGAAUAGCCUGUCAAUAUAGCCCAAGAUGACUGCCUAUCAUUUCAACCCCAAAACAGUGGUUUUAUGCUAAAUUAUUAAUAGCACUGUACCCCUUUGAGGAGGAGGGUAGUAUGUAGGCAAGUCAUCCUUGGCUAAUAAACAAAGACUCUUCUCCUCAGCUCAAAAAGGAAUUCCAGAUUCAUUUUGACAUCAAGUGGUUGACCUUUCAUUGCCAAUUUGCUUAAUCCAUAAAAUGCUUCCGUCCCUUUCAUUUCCUACAAAGUUCUAUGAAGUGCAUGACAGAAUAUAUUCUUUUGAGUUGAAAGAAGCUACAACUCAAAAUAUAUUUUGUACAUAGUUCUGGAAUAAUCAGGACUUACCAGCUCAAGCUAGAGGAUUGUACCUACUGGACAAACGGCAGGUUUUAGACUUCAGAAUUAGAAGGCCCAAGAAUAUAUUUUGUACAGUGAUGUUAUGGAUAGACUAAUAAUGAGUAUAAUGUUUAUUUUUUGUCUUGGUUACUCAAAUGGUAAAGAGAGGAGUCCUCUCUAUUCACAUGUGAAAGCGUCACUGUCUAUCCUAUUCACAAUUUAGAACAAUUGUACACAUAUUUUUCAGUA